AUUGAACGCUGGCGGCAGGCCUUACACAUGCAAGUCGAACGGUAACAGAAAGCAACUUGCUGCUUUGCUGCCGAGGGGCGGGUGGGUGAGUAAUGCCUGGGCAACCGUCGGAUGGAGGGGGAUAAAUACUGGAAACGGUAGCCAAUACAGCAUUACAUCGCAAGACCAAAGCGGGGGGCCUUCGGGCCUCUUGCCAUCCGAUGUGCCCAGAUGGGAUUAGUUAGUAGGUGGGGUAACGGCUCACCUAGGCGACGCUCCCUAGCUGGUCUGAGAGGAUGACCAGCCACACUGGAACUGAGACACGGUCCAGACUCCUACGGGAGGCAGCAGUGGGGAAUAUUGCACAAUGGGCGCAAGCCUGAUGCAGCCAUGCCGCGUGUAUGAAGAAGGCCUUCGGGUUGUAAAGUACUUUCAGCGGGGAGGAAGGGAGUAAAGUUAAUACCUUGGCUCAUUGACGUUACCCGCAGAAGAAGCACCGGCUAACUCCGUG
rnacentral:rRNA from 1 species